CACUGGUCCAAGUGCAGUGGUGUUUAUAACUAAUUCAUCACAACAAGUUACAGAUUUCUUUGUUCCUUUUCCAUUCCCACUGCUUCACUUGACUAGCCUUAA
ensembl:misc_RNA Y_RNA Y RNA